UUUCACUGGUAAAUGUAAAUAGAUUAGAUAUUUUUGAAGGAGUAACGUUAUUGUACACGUCGUGCAUUAUGUCCAUGAUAGAUUUAAGAAUUAAGAUCAUAUUUACUGACAAGUUGGUUGAGUGAAUAAGUAAAGGAACGGCGUGAGUCUUUUAGUCACUAAAGUAUAUUAAACGAAGAACACGUUUUUGUAACUUCAGGAGUUUAUC